rnacentral:lncRNA from 1 species
GCCGAGGGAGCUUGGGCUCGCUGUCGACUUAUCGGGGCAUCUCGACCUUAGUCGAGGAGGCGCUACGGGGGGUCGCGAAGGUACUAUCCCGUUGUCGAUGUCGAGCGCCACGGAGGGCCGCGAAGGUACUACCCCAUCUUUUCGAGGUCGAGGGAGCUUGGGUUCGCUGUCAACUUAUCGGGGCAUCUCGACCUUAGUCGAGGAGGCGCUACGG